GAUGAAGAACGUAGCGAAAUGCGAUAAGUAAUGUGAAUUGCAGAAUUCAGUGAAUCAUCGAAUCUUUGAACGCACAUUGCGCCCGCCAGUAUUCUGGCGGGCAUGCCUGUCCGAGCGCCAUUUCAACCCUCGAACCCCUCCGGGGGGUCGGCGUUGGGGACCUCGGGAGCCCCUAAGACGGGAUCCCGGCCCCGAAAUACAGUGGCGGUCUCGCCGCAGCCUCUCCUGCGCAGUAGUUUGCACAACUCGCACCGGGAGCGCGGCGCGUCCACGUCCGUAAAACACCCAACUUCUGAAAUGUUGACCUCGGAUCAGGUAGGAAUACCCGCUGAACUUAAGCAUAUCAAUAAGCGGAGGA
rnacentral:misc_RNA from 1 species